rnacentral:rRNA from 1 species
GACGAACGCUGGCGGCGUGCUUAACACAUGCAAGUCGAACGCGCCUGUCCUCUGGGUUUCUGGGGGGUGGGUGAGUGGCGCACGGGUGAGUAACACGUGAGUAACCUGCCCCCUUCUUCGGGAUAACGGUCUGAAAGGGCUGCUAAUACCGGGUAUUCACUGGUCUCCGCAUGGGGUCUGGUGGAAAGGUUUUUUUCUGGUGGGGGAUGGGCUCGCGGCCUAUCAGCUUGUUGGUGGGGUGAUGGCCCACCAAGGCUUUGACGGGUAGCCGGCCUGAGAGGGUGACCGGGAACAUUGGGACUGAGAUACGGCCCAGACUCCGACGGGAGGCAGCAGUGGGGAAUAUUGCACAAUGGGCGCAAGCCUGAUGCAGCGACGCCGCGUGAGGGAUGGAGGCCUUCGGGUUGUGAACCUCUUUCGCCCGUGGUCAAGCCGCGACGUGGGUCGUGGUGAGGGUAGUGGGUAAAGAAGCGCCGGCUAACUACGUG